GGAGGGUUAGCCUAAUGGUAAGGCACCGGUCUUGAAAACCGGCGGGCUUACGCCCUUGAGGGUUCGAGUCCCUUGCCCUCCGCCA
rnacentral:tRNA from 1 species